UACGAAGGGGGCUAGCGUUGCUCGGAAUUACUGGGCGUAAAGGGCGCGUAGGCGGAUAGUUUAGUCAGAGGUGAAAGCCCAGGGCUCAACCCUGGAAUUGCCUUUGAUACUGGCUAUCUUGAGUUUCGGGAGAGGUGAGUGGAACUCCGAGUGUAGAGGUGAAAUUCGUAGAUAUUCGGAAGAACACCAGUGGCGAAGGCGACUCACUGGCCCGAUACUGACGCUGAGGCGCGAAAGCGUGGGGAGCAAACAGG
rnacentral:rRNA from 1 species